GGCUUUAUAGUCUAAAUAAAGAUGUUAGAUUGCAAGUCUAAAGAUGUAAUUUUACUAAGGCUU
rnacentral:tRNA from 1 species